GUUGAAACACCAGUUCUUGUAUGAUCACCAAAGUUAAGCAAGAUAGAGCUUGGUCAGUACCUAGAUGGGUGACUGCUUGGGGAAACCAGGUGCAGCAA